rnacentral:rRNA from 1 species
AUUGAACGCUGGCGGCAGGCCUAACACAUGCAAGUCGAACGAGUGGCGGACGGGUGAGAAAUGUCUGGGACACUGCCAGAUGGAGGGGGAUAACUAGUGGAAGCGGUAGCUAAUACCGUAUACCAUGAGAAGUGCCCAGAUGGGAUGAGCUUGUGGGUGGGGUAACGGCUCACCAAGGCGAAGAUCCCUAGCUGGUUUGAGAGGAUGACCAGCCACACUGGGACUGAGACACGGGCCAGACUCCUACGGGAGGCAGCAGUGGGGAAUAUUGCACAAUGGGCGCAAGCCUGAUGCAGCCAUGCCGCGUGUAUGAAGAAGGCCCUCGGGUUGUAAAGUACUUUCAGCGGGGAGGCGUUACCCGCAGAAGAAGCACCGGCUAACUCCGUGCCAGCAGCCGCGGUAAUUC